rnacentral:lncRNA from 1 species
CAAAUCAAACAAGUGAAACUGCGAGCUACUGCUCACUGAUGAUACCCCCGCCGCAAGUGGAUAAUAUUAAUAGUGUAAAAAUAUGCAAGUGUUCGGUAAACAGGAAGUUGUCGAGUGAUGAAUCUGAAAACGCAUCACACGGUAUAGCUGACUUAUAAAAAUCCUGAAACCAAAUUUCAGAAAUCCUUGUAUUGUAGUUCCUGAGAAAAAUGUGACGAAAAUUUUUAACUUGGUUAUCAUGUGUAAAAUC